UGAAGGGGUUGGCCCUUGACUCCAUCGUCAUUUACUACCCUGAGGAAUUCAACUGGCCAUUAAGAUGUCCAAUCAGUCCUUUAUAGUUGAGGCACUGUUGCUGAUUCUUUGCUUCUCAAUCAAAACCCUACGUUUCUCCAUUUUUCACCAGCAAUUAUUCGAUGUCAUGUAUAUGAGAAGUGAUUGCAGGAGAAACAACUCGGAGAAAAUUUUGGUACUUCACCGAAGCAAGGAAAUGUCAAUAUUUAUCUUCGCAUGUGACAAAAGAAAGGGAGAGCUGGAGCGUAAGGCUCACCGAUGACUUAGAAAUAGAGCGACCCAGGAAUAAUACAUAAAAGUUCUAAUCAUGACUCGCAAUUCAAACCACUUACUCCGAACCAAAUUACUGGUUGUUAUAUCUGUGGAUCUCAGUACUGUGCAGUGUCCAGCCUGUAUAUGCAAGCUACAUCCAGCAUAUUCCGUCAAUAGCUACAAUAAUGACACGCCAGGUCUUCGUCUCAAGUGUCCAACUCAGGCCUGAAAUCAACAUCGCACUGGAAAUGGAGUUAGUAAGCAGAAGACUACUUUUGUUAUCUAUUGAAUAUCAUCACGAGGCAGUGAUAGAGGAGUCUACAGAGCCACUGGAGGAAGUCUACACAGCCAAACGAGGGAGUCGUAUCGUAAUGGUAAACAGAAGAACAUCUUGUAUACUUCGUUGGCAGGUGCAACAUCUUGGGGAUUAGCGCAGAUUAGACAGACUAAUAUGAUCUCUGAGCUUGCUGUUUUUUGUAACUUCGCCAAGGGAACCUUUCUCUAUCAGAACACUACACUAUAGUUAUUACAGAUAUUGGAGCCUUCUCACCGAGUGCCUGUAUCCGGCUGAGGACAUUGAAAAUCAUAAUCACAUGAAAAAUUCGUGUAAAAAUCCAACUUUAGUUCAUGAUGGAUAUAUUUUCAAAAAAACGUGUCAUUCAGGACUAAUGGAAAUUGACUCACAUUAAUAAUAAAUUGAAAUUACCAUAUA